rnacentral:rRNA from 1 species
CCUACGGGAGGCUGCAGUGAGGAAUAUUGGUCAAUGGGCGCGAGCCUGAACCAGCCAAGCAGCGUGAAGGAUGACUGCCCUACGGGUUGUAAACUUCUUUUAUAAAGGAAUAAAUUGUGGCACGUGUGCCCUUAUGUAUGUACUUUAUGAAUAAGGAUCGGCUAACUCCGUGCCAGCAGCCGCGGUAAUACGGAGGGUCCGAGCGUUAUCCGGAUUGAUUGGGUUUAAAGGGAGCGUAGAUGGGUUGUUAAGUCAGUUGUGAAAGUCAGUGGCUCAACCGUAAAAUUGCAUUUGAAACUGGCAGGCUUGAGUUCGGUAGAGGUAGGCAGAAUUCGUGGUGUAGCGGUGAAAUGCUUAGAUAUCGCGAAGAACUCCGAUUGCGAAGGCAGCUUACUGGACUGCCACUGACGUUGAGGCUCGAAAGUGUGGGUAUCAAACAGGAUUAGAUACCCGUGUAGUC